rnacentral:rRNA from 1 species
GUAGGGAAUAUUGGGCAAUGGAUGCAAGUCUGACCCAGCCAUCCCGCGUGCCGGAAGAAGGCCCUCAGGGUUGUAAACUGCUUUUGUACGGGAAGAAACACUCCCUCGUGAGGGAGCUUGACGGUACCGUAAGAAUAAGGAUCGGCUAACUCCGUGCCAGCAGCCGCGGUAAUACGGAGGAUCCGAGCGUUAUCCGGAUUUAUUGGGUUUAAAGGGUGCGUAGGUGGUUUGAUAAGUCAGCGGUGAAAGUUUGCAGCUUAACUGUAAAAAUGCCGUUGAAACUGUCGGACUUGAGUGUAAAUGAGGUAGGCAGAAUGCGUGGUGUAGCGGUGAAAUGCAUAGAUAUCACGCAGAACUCCGAUUGCGAAGGCAGCUUACUAAGCUACAACUGACACUGAAGCACGAAAGCGUGGGGAUCAAACAGGAUUAGAAACCCCAGUAGUCC